GGGGCUGUGUUGUAGCUUGGUCCAUAAGCAAAAUAAGGGCUAUGGGAGCAAUCUAGCAUUAGAGGUUUGGGACCUUUAGACCCCGGUUCGAACGAAGCCUGAGCUGAUUUAGAAAAAGUGGCUGAAUCAGAUUCAAUUUCCGAUUUUCCGGGCAGCCCCA
rnacentral:tRNA from 1 species